UGUAGGUGGAAGCAGCAGUGGAGGAGGAGGAUGAGGUAGCCAACACUGUUUUUUUUUAUUUUUUUAUUGUGAUAGCCCACAAAAUAUUGGGACAUAUAAAAAAAGACAACUAUGUUCCGCAGAGUAACUGUUGACAUUAUAGUUGCACAGGAACUUUGCUGACUCUAGAGAACCUCAGGCAAAUCGCACAUCACCGUGGCGGUGACUUUGCAUGAGGAUGUCAUCCAUAUCAACUUUCGAUGCCAGUUUCUGUGUCUACCAUGGCCAUGGGUAACGGGGAAUCAGGGUUCCAUUUCAUACAAGGACCCUGAGAAAUGGCUACCACAUGCAAGGAAGGCAGCA